rnacentral:rRNA from 1 species
UGAGCAAUCUGCCCUUCUCAUCGGAAUAAGCGUUGGAAACGACGUCUAAUGCCGAAUACGACCUCCUUUCGCAUGAUCGGAGGUGGAAAGCUCCGGCGGAGAAGGAUGAGCUCGCGGCCUAUCAGCUAGUUGGUGUGGGUAAUGGCCCACAAGGCGACGGACGGGUAGCCGGCCUGAGGAGGGUCGACCCGGCCACACGUGGGACUGAGACACGGUCCAGACCUCCGUACGGGAGCAG